AUUGAACGCUGGCGGCAGGCUUAACACAUGCAAGUCGAACGGAGUGGCGGACGGGUGAGUAAUGCCUGGGAAACUGGCUGAUGGAGGGGGAUAACUACCGGAAACGGGCGCUAAUACCGCAUACUAUCAGAUGAGCCCAGGUCGGAUUAGCUAGUUGGUGGGGUAAAGGCCUACCAAGGCGACGAUCCGUAACUGGUCUGAGAGGAUGAUCAGCCACACUGGAACUGAGACACGGUCCAGACGCCUACGGGAGGCAGCAGUGGGGAAUAUUGGACAAUGGGCGAAAGCCUGAUCCAGCCAUGCCGCGUGUGUGAAGAAGGGCUUCGGAUUGUAAAGCACUUUAAGCUGGGAGGCGUUACCAACAGAAUAAGCACCGGCUAACUCCGUGCCAGCAGCCGCGGUAAUAC
rnacentral:rRNA from 1 species